CUUAACACAUGCAAGUCGAGCGGUAAGGCCCUUCGGGGUACACGAGCGGCGAACGGGUGAGUAACACGUGAGCAACCUGCCCCUGACUCCGGGAUAAGCGGUGGAAACGCCGUCUAAUACCGGAUAUGACACACCAUCUCCUGGUGGUGUGUGGAAAGUUGUAUCGGUCAGGGAUGGGCUCGCGGCCUAUCAGCUAGUUGGUGGGGUAAAGGCCUACCAAGGCGAUUACGGGUAGCCGGCCUGAGAGGGCGACCGGCCACACUGGGACUGAGACACGGCCCAGACUCCUGCGGGAGGCAGCAGUGGGGAAUAUUGCACAAUGGGCGAAAGCCUGAUGCAGCGACGCCGCGUGGGGGAUGACGGCCUUCGGGUUGUAAACCUCUUUUACCACCAACGCAGGCCCCGGGUUCUCUCGGGGUUGACGGUAGGUGGGGAAUAAGGACCGGCUAACUACGUGCCAGCAGCCGCGGUAAUACGUAGGGUCCGAGCGUUGUCCGGAAUUAUUGGGCGUAAAGAGCUCGUAGGCGGCGUGUCGCGUCUGCUGUGAAAGACCGGGGCUUAACCCCGGUUCUGCAGUGGAUACGGGCAUGCUAGAGGUAG
rnacentral:rRNA from 1 species